UUUUCUUCAUUCUUUCUGAAUCUUCAAAAAGUCAAGAACGUGUUGAAGGCUCUUCCUAGUUCCCGGAUGAAUUUCCUAUUCUGAAGCAGGAUUUGGGUUUUAUUUUGAAUCCCUGGGUUGUUUUUCUGGUUUUGCUGUUGUUGGUUUGUUGGUUACUGUCGAAGUUUGGGUUUUCAUUUUUCUUCUGGUUUCCUUGACCUUUAUUUGGU
rnacentral:lncRNA from 1 species